AUUGAACGCUGGCGGCAUGCUUUACACAUGCAAGUCGAACGGUAACAGGCCGCAAGGUGCUGACGAGUGGCGAACGGGUGAGUAAUGCAUCGGAACGUGCCCAGUCGUGGGGGAUAACUACUCGAAAGAGUAGCUAAUACCGCAUACGAUCUAUGGAUGAAAGCGGGGGACCGUAAGGCCUCGCGCGAUUGGAGCGGCCGAUGUCAGAUUAGGUAGUUGGUGGGGUAAAGGCUCACCAAGCCAACGAUCUGUAGCUGGUCUGAGAGGACGACCAGCCACACUGGGACUGAGACACGGCCCAGACUCCUACGGGAGGCAGCAGUGGGGAAUUUUGGACAAUGGGCGCAAGCCUGAUCCAGCAAUGCCGCGUGCAGGAAGAAGGCCUUCGGGUUGUAAACUGCUUUUGUACGGAACGAAACGGCUCUGGUUAGUACCCGGGGCUAAUGACGGUACCGUAAGAAUAAGCACCGGCUAACUACGUG
rnacentral:rRNA from 1 species